rnacentral:lncRNA from 1 species
GGUUGAGCAGACAACAAUAUGACCAAUUGAUGACCUUGCUACAACAAACUCAGUUAGGGGACUCCACUGCCCAGACUCCUCCUCCUAUGUAUGGUGCCAAUUAUGCUGGUACUAUGCUAACUGAGAGCCCUGUUUCUGAUUCCAAAUUUUGCAUGCUUACUCACAUUAAUUUUGCCACCUGGAUAAUAGACUCAGGGGCAUCUAACCAUAUGACCUUUAAUAAAAAUUUACUCUUCAACCUCACACCUUUAACUGUGCCCUAUC